rnacentral:snoRNA from 1 species
UUUAAUGUAACUCAAACUGUUCCAUAGCCAUACAUCGUUGGAAAUGCCUCAUAGAGUAAAAUUGUGGUUUUGUUUUCCUCCCUGGACUAUUUGUUAGAUCUGUGGGAAGGAACUACAAGACAGUU